UAGCGGCGGACGGGUGAGUAACGCGUGGGCAAUCUGCCCUGUGGCAAGGGAUAGCCUCGGGAAACCGGGAUUAAUACCUUAUAAAAUUAGCACUUUACAUGAAGAGCUAAUCAAAGAUUUAUCGCCACAGGAUGAGCCCGCGUCCCAUUAGCUAGUUGGUGAGAUAACAGCUCACCAAGGCGACGAUGGGUAGCCGACCUGAGAGGGUGAUCGGCCACACUGGGACUGAGACACGGCCCAGACUCCUACGGGAGGCAGCAGUGGGGAAUAUUGCGCAAUGGGGGAAACCCUGACGCAGCAACGCCGCGUGAGUGAUGAAGGUUUUCGGAUCGUAAAGCUCUGUUAUUGGGGAAGAAUAAUGACGGUACCCAAGGAGGAAGCCCCGGCUAACUACGUGCCAGCAGCCGCGGUAAUACGUAGGGGGCAAGCGUUGUCCGGAAUCAUUGGGCGUAAAGGGCGUGUAGGCGGUAUGAUAAGUCAGGUGUGAAAGUUUGGGGCUCAACC
rnacentral:rRNA from 1 species